CUGCCCCUAUCCUCUCAAAACGAUCCCCUCCCCAAAAAAUAAAAAACACUAACAGCCUUGCCCGACUUCUUCUUCUCAUCGAGCAACCUCCAAAUUGGUUGACCAUUUUCUCGCUUUUACACACGAUUUACGCACUAGGAGUAUAUAAAAAUCAUGAAAGGAGAUUUUCGACUUCGAUUCUUUGCUAUUUUUGACUUCUAAUCUUAGCUUCAUAAUUUCUGGGAAUCUGAAGCGAUUGAAUCGCUCUUCGCUGCUAUCGAGUUGAACUUGUUUGGUCGUUGGAUAUUGUUGUUCUCGUUACUGGAUUUCACCUCAUAUUUUAGAUAUCUGCUUGUUGUUUUCAGUUUAUUUCGGCUAUUUAGGUAUGUAUACAUUUACCCGAAAUCCUCUUUUGAAUAUUAACGAAUAUUUGGAUUGUUGACCUGAUGAAUAUAUUCAGUUUUCUGUAUUUCUUGAGUUCAACCUCCAGAUUUGAAUGCUUGUUUCUAUUUAUUGAUAUUUUUUUUUAAAAAAACGAAUCAAAAUUGGUCAUUAAUUAGUUUGGCUCUCCUGUUGUUGUUUUGUUCUAAACUCAGCAUGUUGAUGCUAGGUAUCAUUAUGUUUGGCAUCUAUACUGUUAAUUAAGCACUUAGUGAAUUCACAAGACUUUUGAAUUGAGUUAUUUGUUACCGAAAUGUUCAUUCCUUGAGGAUAAAGUGUGAAUGCAUCAUGAAGCAUGAAUUUAAGUUACUAACUUUGAAUAAAAGCUCGAAUAAGCAAUGAAUUAGUUUCAUGGUGAUUGGUUGUGCAAACCAGCUGUAUUUUUUCAGUACAUAUGUCGGCUUUAUGUUGUGAGGUCUGCGGUGUUGGCUAGCUGAAUGGAUUAGGCCAUCAUAUUGCUGUAAAUAAUUUGUCCAUUAGAGUUGAUAGUGAAUCCAAGAUUAACAGGUUGUGUUGCUUAUCACAAGUUUUGUUCUUUGGUUUUAGGGAAUUGAUUUAAACAAAGGGAUUUAGGCUUAAAAGAAUUUGAUCCGGUCGAAUUUUGAAGCUGGUCCAUCUUUAUUUUAUAGAUAAAAGAUGCCUAACAAUUGCCAAAUACUUUCAAUAACUUAGACUUCAGUAAUACUACUAUUUUUAUUAAGUAAAAUUUAUACCCUUAUCCACAAAAAUCCAUAAUUAUGGACCUUCACAAUAACCCUAAACUUAGGAAAUGUACAAUUCAUGAAUACUUUAGAAUGAUUUAGGCUCGCUCUUAAUUAAUCAAAUUAUCGUGAUUGUGUACACGUUCUUAUGUCAUAAUUAUGAUUUCCAAAACAGUCAAAGUAUGCGUUCGCGCAACUUUGGCCAGAACAAAUUUUCUUAAUUAAUAAAGCGUGAUUUAUUGUUUACACAUACGCGUGACAUGAUUUUAGCGCCCCAAAUAAAACGGAUUUACACACAUGUGAUUCGUUUCCAAUAUAAAUCCAUAACACGCCAUAAUUAAAAAGCGGUAAAAGGUAAAAAUAUACAUAGGUUCUAAAAUGAGCAAUUAAAUAAUUUAAUUAAGUCAGGUAUGAUUAAAGUGAUCAUGUUAAAACCACAGAAUCUAGGAAUGCCUAAUACUUUCUCUCAGAUUAAGAAAAUUUCUUACCCGGUCUUCUAGAUUUUGCAGACUUUAAAACAGAGUCAAAUUUCCUCGACUUGGGAUUAAAAAAUAAGCCUGUGACUUGGGACACAAUAAAUUAUUUCAAGUGGCAACUAUGAAAUUAAAUAAAAACUUUUAUUUCGAAAAAUAUCACUUUAAUUAGAAAAAUCCUCUAUCCCCUCGGGAAGAAUGUGGUGUGACAGCUCUGGCGACUCUACUGGGAAAAGGAAUCCAGAAUCUCUAGUUCAGGGUUUAGAAUUUGAGCUUGUAAUGUAAUCUAUACUUGGCUUUAUUGUUUGUUGAUAUAACUGUGGUUGUGGUAUGAAUGUGCGAAUUGUUGCUAAUUUACCGCUUUGAUAUUAUUUGAAUUGUAUAAACUGUCUUCUUACGCCCCACUUAUGAGGUUUCUAAAAAUAUGGUGCACAUGUACGUGUGAUCCACUUUUCUGUUAUAGGUCGAACCAAAUACAACGAGGCUG
rnacentral:lncRNA from 1 species